UCCUUCCGUUGAUGUUACACCGGUGGGGCGUAGACGUCGUUCAAUCUCCGAUUCCGUGGAUGAGUCACAGCUUUAUCAUGUUGUCUACGGUCCGUUCACCUUUAAGCAAGAAGAACUGAACAAAGAUGAAGUUGCACCUAAAGACCAAAAGAAGACCCACCAGCCUUCCCAGACUGUACCAAUUGUUGGGGCAGUAUGUGGUGUUGUGGCUGUAGCUGUCAUCUGCGCCACUGUUUACCUUGUCAUUCACUAUCGCACCAAGCGCACGCAAAAUGGAGAUCUGCACGUGGUCACCUAAACUCCAAACACAAAUAAGUUGUGUUGUGCAAACGCGCAAAUAUUAUGUUUUUUAAUCCAAUAUCCAUUUGAAUGGUGUGACAUAUGAAGCAACUCGAUAGGGUUAAGUUGAGUUGUGGAUGUUGAUUAAGACAUAAAAUUUUUUUCUUUUUUUCAAACGAAUAAAUGAUUAAUCAGCUAUUUUCUUCAGAUGAUGGUAGGAAUCAAAAGUAGUUUUCAAAGCUAAUGGAAUUAAUGUCUUGAAUUCAGUGUCAAGGUUGAUUUCGUUAGCUGCUUGUCACUCUUAUUUGCGCGAUCCAGAUUAACAACCAGUUUUAAUCGCUAAUUGUUUCAACACCUUAUAAACUUGCACACAAGCCUUAUAGACAACGUUAAGUUCACACACAAUUUUAUUACGUAUGACAAACUUUACGCUCUAUAUGCAGCACAGCAACGGCAGCGUUGUGAUUUUGCUAACGCUUAUAUGAUAUCUAACCGAAUGCUAACCAUAGUAAGUAUACCCAAGUCGCAUGCGGGCCUAGUUGCUUUCCCGUUAAACUGGCUUAAGCCUUGUCAGUGAGGCACCAGUACCAGUUACAAUUUUUUAGAAAUUUUGAGCCGCAUCUUAAUAAAAUAUAGGAACCGUCAUGAAUUUAUUAUAAAA